rnacentral:rRNA from 1 species
AGAGUGGACGCUGGCGGUAGGCCUAACACAUGCAAGUCGAACGGCAGCACAGGAGAGCUUGCUCUCUGGGUGGCGAGUGGCGGACGGGUGAGGAAUACAUCGGAAUCUACCUUUUCGUGGGGGAUAACGUAGGGAAACUUACGCUAAUACCGCAUAAGACCUUCGGGUGAAAGCCGGGGACCUUCGGGCCUGGCGCGGAUAGAUGAGCCGAUGUCGGAUUAGCUUGUUGGCGGGGUAAAAGCCCACCAAGGCGACGAUCCGUACGCUGGUCUGAGAGGAUGAUCAGCCACACUGGAACUGAGACACGGUCCAGACU